rnacentral:lncRNA from 1 species
CCUGGUAUGUAACCGCCCUCAUCUUCAUGUCUUACCUAACGGUAAAGGUCAAAUCCCGAAAUUCAGAUUAGAUGCAGAAGGAAGUAUGUAAAUUUCGUCUUACAUAUUUUUUUCUCAUUUUUUAAAAUUAGUAAUUGAUUUAAAUCGUUGCAGUAACAACAAUCUGCAAAUAUAAAUUAGUAAUCCAUUUUAUAAAUUGUUUAUUUAGUGUUUCCUACCACAAAAUUUUGAAGGAAUAUCGAAUGAAAAGUGAAGGAAAGUUUGUAGGAAAUUAGAAGGAAUAGUUUCGUAGGAAAUUAGAAGUAAUGAUUUCGUAGGAAAUUAGAAGGAAUAAUUUCGUAGGAAAUUAGAAGGAAACCGUUUCCUACGAAUAAUAGGAAGGAAAACGGUCAUAAAUACCCUUCGUGAUUCCUACGAAUAAACCUACAAAAGUUCCUUCAGCGCGGUUUUGGUAGGAAAUUUUCCUACCAAUAUCUUACCAUUUACGAUUUCCUACGGGCGAUUUCCUAUCAUUUUUUUCGUAGGAAUAUCGUAAGAAACAGCUGUUUCCUACCAUUUUUUCACGCUACCGCCCGUAGGAAAUAAGCGUUUUUCUUGUAGUGUAAUUUGAUGAUUAUGAUAUAAAUAAUAUUAUAGGCAAAAUUUUAUAUCUUCUUACCAUAUCAAAUAAUGUUUAUUUAUAAUAUGAAAUAUAUGUAAUUAUAUGAUUCAAAUAUUUAUAGUAAUGAUUUUUGCUUAAUCAACCAUAAUUACAAAUAUCUAAAUUAAAUUAUUUUUGAUUUAAUUUAUGGAAAUGAGUAGUGGAGUUGAUUAGAGUUACUAGUUUACACAUUUAACCAUCUAAAAUAUUGCUUUAAUGAAAUAAUUUUUAUUAAAGGUUUAACCGUACGGUUAACCAACGAUUUUAUACGGUUACGGUUAAUUUUUUAUAACCGUGACUGAUUUAUUUUUACGGUUAACGGUUAUAAUUUUUAACCGUUUUAUACAAUUACGGUUAAAAAUACGAUUAAGGUUAGAUUUUGGUCAAGCCUAUUAGCUACUACUAUUUUCAUCGCCUGAAAAUUUUAGCCAACAGAUGACUUUCUUCUCCCUUCUCCACCCUAAACCACAAAUGAUCUCUGGAUGCAUAUUUAUCUCAUCAUGUUAUUUCAUUAUAUUGUGUGUCUAAAGUAGAUGACGACAGUGAAAAUCAAAAUAAAGCCUUUAUCAAACCUUCUCUUGCUAAGGCAAGUCCCAGUUUUCAAUCAAAUAUUUGCUUAUAUCUAUUAUUAAAGAAAAAUAUUAAUCACACAACUUAAUACUUUCCCAAAGGUAUUUCGUAAUAAACUGCUGAAAAAACAGAUCAUAAUUAAGCAAAAGUUAUAAAAGAUAUAAGAUUCAUUCAAAUUAAAAAAAAAAUUUGUGAUCAUAGAAAUAUUGAAUAAAAUUGUUUAUGCGAAAACGAAUUUGUUAAAACACUUACAGCAUGAAAUGGAGUUUACCUUUAAUGUCAUGCCCAAAUGCCUAUAUCAAAAACUAUUUUCUUCUAAUGUGGAGGAUUUGUUUGGUAGUUUAUUAAAAACUAUUUUCUUCAAAAACAGCAACAGUUUCAGACUGCACCAACACUUCUUCAGUGGCAAUGCUUAUGGAGGUUUAGUUCCUCCUCCUCCUCCACCAUUGAUGAUCCCUCCUAUGGCUAACAGAGACUGCACCAACACUUCUUCAGCUGCUUUAACUGACCCGUACAGCGCCUUUUUCGCACAGGUAAAACCUUCUUUAAGUGUUUCCGAGAAAGGUGUUCAGAGAUAUAAAAAUCUUAGAGCUCACUGUUGUUGGCCAUGAUGCUGCAGACAAUGAAUAUGGAUCUCUAACAAUAAAAUGGCUGCAGCGAUCUAUAGACAACAGUCUGAUCAGACUUCUUCAAAGG